GUUGAACAAGUGUCCUGUUCCUCCCUCCUGCAGGUCACCAGGACAGACCCUCCAACACGGAUAUCCGACUCCACAGCACCCGUUCCUGUUGUCUGCCUACAGCGCUGGAAGGGCUGUUUAACCCAUGCACACUUGUGACCACCCAUUUUAACAAGUCACUGAUAUACCUUGCUUGGCUUUCUGCAGCACAGCGUUUAUUACGAGACCAGCAGACGUUAUUCAUUUUUUGCCUGGAGGUACACCCAACAACAAGGCGCCUCGGACCUAUUCUUGCCAGUACUAAGGGUGGCUGACUCUCUCAGUUGGCUCCUGUCUGACUCGUCCCCCGCUGAAAAGCACGAAACAUCAUCCCUUCUCAGAAGAGUUUGUCUUCAACAGCUCCGGUUUCCAGAAUUUGCAGUCACAUUGAUGUAGAUGUACAAGUGACAAACACACUGUGAAAAGAAGGAGCAGUCUCCCAUCUGCACGGAUCUCCUCAGCCCUGCUGAAGGUCGAGGCUUGGAGCUGGUUAACCAUUAAAAUGAAAGGCCUAAAUCCUGCAGAGUCCUCUCAAGGAAAGCUCCUGUCUCUUUGGAGCACCGCUGAGGAUGGUACAAAUGAAAAGAAGAAAGAACUUCUCCCUGUUUUCCAUAAUCACAAAAUAUGGUCUGACCACUCAGCUGCAAAAAUAUUCAGAGCAGGGCUGUUGAGCCCUGUUUUCAUUCCUGGUAGUGUUACCUGUGCAAUUAAGAAAUAAUCAAACCUCUUUCCUUCAUGCACAUUUCUAAAAUAUCUGGGACAAAUCUGUUUAUAAAUAGUACCGAACCGUGCAUUACUUUACUUUAUCCACCCUUUGUAACCUCCUUACGAUCACGAGGACGGUUUGUUGGAGUAAAGGUGUGUUACAUGAUCUCUUAACUGGUGAUUUGGGUCACAGAGGUAGAAAGGAUAGGGAUUGCAGCUGUUGCAUUUCCGUAGCGAGGGACAUAUUCCUAUCCUGACUCCCAGCGCUGUGCUCAGAGCCUCAGGGCUGCCUGCGUGCGGGCUCUGCUCCGGCUGUCGGCACACGCCUCCUGCCCUUGCGCUAUCGUGACUCUUCUGGGAAGGAUUGUACGUGCCUUCAAGCCUUUCCAGCCUUUCCAGUGAGAAACCCUGGAGCUGCCUGCACCGCAGGUAGAGUUGCCCUUGGGUGGCACUGUAAACCCUGGCCAGAGAUUAAGUGCCUCCCAGGGAGUAACAGUGGGAUUUCUGCAGCCUGGCAGGUUAGGUGUUGCUCCAGGUGGGUGAUGAGAGCUCCUGGCUGCCUCAGCCUCACACCUACCCUUCAGGUCAGUCAGGGCAGCAGUGCAGGUGGAGCCAUUUGGGAUGUCAAGAUCACGGUGUUUACUUCACCAGACUGAAGCCAUGAGACUCUUAGCAAUGGUGACAACUGAGCUGGAGAUGGCAGCAGACCCUUAUCAUGAAAAAGGAGGCCUAUGGUUUCAAACUGUCUUUUUAAAUUGUUUGUUUCCCGAAUGUCCAAGGUGUCUUUUCUGAAUGGAGGCACUGUUGUCUCAGAUCCCCUUCC